rnacentral:snRNA from 1 species
GUGCUCGCUUCAGCAGCACAUAUACUAUUGUAUACAGAGAAGAUUAGCAUGACACCUGCACAAGAAUGACAUACACAUUUGUGAAGCAUUCCAUAUAAAA